rnacentral:lncRNA from 1 species
UCUUGUCAUUCAAAAUUGUUGUUAGCAUUUUGGAAGAGUAAUUUUUGGGCCACAUCCAUUGUAGUAGAUAGCAGUGCUCACAAUAUAAUUUAUACAAGUUUUAUCAUCAUACUUUGUUAACUUAGUUUUAUCAUCAUACUUUGUUAACUUUCUCUUGAUGUUUCUCUGAAAUUAACCUUGAACAGUAUGUGCGUUUCUUCCAUAUAGAUAACUGAAACAGAUAACUAGUAUUUAUUGUGUUAAAAUUACUCAUGUUCUUUGCUUGUAAGCUACAUAUUAUUGAUGUUAAGCUGUGUGCUUGACCUGAUUGUCUCUAAUUUAAUUGCUUUUGUUUAAUUUUUUUAAUUCUCAUUUUCCAUUCUUCAAUAUCAUUUUUGUUUGUUUUUGCUUUGUUCAUAAAGAUUUUUGUUUCUAUUACAUUAUGUAGUUUUGUACCAAUGGCUAGAAGCAGAUCGUCAUGGCAAGAGCCAAGAUACUGCAAAUACAACUUCAGGUAAAAAUAGUUUAAAAAUGAAUUGGGGUAUUAGAAUCAUAAUUUUAAUUCACCCCACAUCCUAAUAUAAAUGUUUCUUAAAUUUGUUUAGAUAAAAUUAUAGAUGAUACUUGUAUUUUGUUCUCUCAUCUGCAUCUUAAUUUUCAUAAAGACCUCAUUUGCUUCAAGCCUUGAAAAAAAUUGUAUUUACCAGUCUAAGGUGUCUUGGCAUGUAUUUUAUAUUUUCUUGGAGGAGAGAUUUGAUUACAGCUUAAAUUUAGUAGAUUACAUGGCAAUAUUGUUUCAAAUUAGGGCUGUAUAUAAUUAUAGCAAAGAUAUUAACAUUGUAACUGUCUUUUGGCAGUGGUAAAAAUUUAAUAUAGGGCCUUACAAGUAAAUAAAUACUUGAAGAAAUUUGCAGUCCUUAUUUGUUUGAGGACUGUAUUUAAAAAGUGAAUUUUAAUUUAAGGGUGUUUAUAUACAAUUUCUAUUUCAUGCAAAUCCAAAAUCCCAAACCCAGGCAUUUUUCCUGAUUAGUCCUAGCAAUAAAUUCUGAGUUAAUGACAUAUAAAAAUGUGCAUUCAAAAUGAAAAGAGUAGGUUGGUCUCCUGGUUUCUAGGUCCCUAAGGUAAUCCUGGAACUUUUUUUUCCCCUCUCCCACAGAUGUUAGUAAGAAUAGAAUAGCUACAUUCAUUCAUUUCUAAAUUCUUACCAGUGGCAUCAGAUUCUUUUCCUAAUUUAUUUCAAAAUAAUAUUUGCCAAGACAUCUGUAAUACAGCAGUGAUCUUUCUUGUUGCUCUUUUUUUUUUUUAAACAGUAUAAGAGAACUGGUGAUGGUGUUAUUAGUAUCUGGGGUGGUGAUAGAGUUAACAGUGAUGGUGGUGGUGUUACCAAGGUAGAAGUGUUAAUAGUGGCAUAAGUAAUAACAGUGGUGGUGGUGGUGGUGGUGGUGGUGGUGAUGGUGGUGGUGGUGGUAGUGGUGGUGGUGGUAGUGGUGGUGGUGGUAGUGGUGGUAGAGGAUACACUUGCUGUGUAUGUUUUGUGGUUUUGUGAAAUUGUGUGUGGAGGUAAAUAGGUUGUACCUGAAGAAGGUUGGACUUCCACAGGCAACAGAACAAUUAUAUUAAAAAUGGCAUUGUAAUGACUUCUCUGAUUUAUCUUCUAUCCCAUUUAUAACUUGAUAUCUGAAUGAAGAUGUUGCUAUUUUAACCAUGCACAGGCAGGAAUUCACUAAAAGGUAAGUAUUACAAAUAGAUUUAUCCUGGGUUAUAUGCUGUUUUUCUGUUCCUGUGGUAUUUUGCAUUUUACUUAUUAUAGAUAAAAGUAGUAAUUUCUGUCUCUUAGAUUGUGGGCCAAAGAGAGGGUUUCUUAGAGUUUUGCUAUGGCAAUAGCUAAGCCAGUAGCAUAGGGCUUUUUGUUUGUUUUGUUUUUUUGAGACAAAGUUUCUCUAUUUAGUCCUGUGUGUCCUGGAACUCACUAUGUAGACCAGGCUGCCCUUAAACUCACAGAGGUCCUCCUGCCUCUACUUAACAAGUGCUGUGAUUAAAGGUGUACACUACCACGCCCAGCCGAGUAGCACAGAUUUUUAGAACUACAGGAACUUUUUCUUGUGUAUUUAUUUAUUUAUGGACUUAGAGUAAAGUAAAAUCUAAUCUCUUUUUAAGCAAGAAAUAUAAAUUAUUUUAGUGUUCACACAAACUCAAGUAUCAGCUUAAGAGAACCAUUUAUCCAGAAGUGAACAGUUUUGAAUCCUGAAUCUUGUGACCCUCUGUCACACUGACUCAUGGACAGUUUAAUAUUUAUCUACGUGACUUUUGGUCAUAGGUACUCUAGUAGCAAUGUAUAAAAAUUGAUAAAUUUGUUAAGGGAGCAUUUGUCAGUUUAUUUAUUGAGAAAGAGCUCAACUCUGUAGCUCAGGCUGGCCUCAGUGAUCCUCAUGCCUAUGCCUCUCAACGGCUUUUACAGACAUGAGAAACUACACCUAGUUUUAGGAUAUCUUGAACAGUUUCUCUCCUGAAGUGAAAGCUCUCAACUCUUAGAAUAUGGAGCUACAGACUAGAAAGAUACAGAGCUAUGGUACCUAGCUAACCAAAUCAGGAGACUCCAAAGGAAAAAGAUCAUUUGUCAAGGACACCAAUUGAAAGCCAUAGUUUAGUUGCUUUCCCCAAAUAUAUUUAAAUUAAGUUCCUAAAUAUCUAAUAUUGUAGUUUCUAGCAAGAUUUUAGUGUGUAAUAUUUCCCUUCUGUGGUUUAAAAUUUUUUUUUACUCAAUUCAAAGUAAAGUUAGUAUAUGUCUAUUCAUAUUUUUACCCCAAGUGUAAAUUGAGUCAUGUCUAGCAAAAUGGCAGUGUCACUUCUAAGUCUGAUUGCAUUGUGAUACUUUAAAUUGUGCAAAUACUGGUAAAUUACACUGAUAUCUCUUUAUAACUGUAGUACUUAAUUAGAAUUUAAAGUAGAACUUAAAAAGUAAGUUCCAGAGCCAAAGCUGUAUAAUAGCAUAGUUUCAAC